GGUAUGAAAUUGAUUCGGUGAAGACUGGAGAGAAAGUAAAAAAAUGCAGAAAAGAAAUCUCUGGGUCUCUGCCACCAAAAUCCUAAGCAGAAAAUCACGUCCAAAUUCUCGAUUUUCAACUAGUUUGGAUCCCAAAUUACAACCUACUAGUGUUAUUUCUUGUUCGUUUCACCAUGCUGGAGAAUCUAGGGUUUCUAAGAGCUCUUGUGGCAACAGUUUUAUAGCGAAUUACAGGAAGAAUUUCUAUUCAUUAGAUGAAAAUUCUGGGAGAUGCUGGAAUUGUGGAGUUGUUGCUGUGUCUAAACCAUUUCUCUCUUGUGACUCUUGUAAAAGCGUUCAACCAGUUCAUGCUUCCGUGGAUUAUUUCCAGAUUUUCGGAUUCAGGGAGAAAGCGUUUGCGAUAGAGGAUACCAAUCUGGAGAAAACAUAUAAAAAUUGGCAAAAGAAACUUCAUCCUGAUUUGGUACAUAUGAAAUCCGAGAAAGAAAAGGAGUUUGCUGCUGAACAGUCAUCUCGGGUAAUUGAUGCUUAUCGUACACUAAGGAAGCCGUUGUCUAGGGCAAUCUACCUUUUGGGCCUUGAAGGUAUACAUGUGGAUGAAGAAAGAACAGUAUCGGAUCCUGAAUUGCUAGCUGAGAUCUUGGAUAUCAGGGAAGCAGUUGACGAGGCCUCUAAUUCACAGUCUUUAAAACAAAUCCAGGGUCAGGUACAAGAGAAACUAGAAAUCUGGUCCAAGUCCUUUGAGAGUGCUUUUAAGAAAAAGAAGUUUGAAGACGCUGUAACCUCAAUUCAAAGAAUGACUUACUAUGAUCGAAUAAAUGACGAAAUUGUAAAGAAGCUUUGAUCUAGUUUUUUGCGUGGAUAUGGUGAGACUGCGAUAAGAAUAAUUAGAUGCACUUGAACCUGGUUGAGAAUUCUCAUGUGAAGACUGGACAGACAAGUUUUCCAAUUUAUAUUUUGGAUUCAUUCUCAGAUGCAACUGAUUUCAAGUGGCAAUUGCAUUGAAUGAAUUCAAAACAUGAUUGUAAAUGUUGAAUUGCACGUGGUUCUUGUCGUCCUGUUCUACCACUAUUCCAAAUUGGGAUGUUUGUUUUGUUUGUAAACUAAACAGACCAAGAAGAAGAGAAAGAUUGAUGCUUGCUGUAGAGCAAAACCCCACCAAAGUUUGGAAUAAAACCGCUGCCCACAUGAUGUGGCCUGACAAAUGCUGGACCUAGUUGAUCAAUCAUUUCUCUUCCACAUCAACUGCCACUGUGCUCAUGGUCAGACAAAUGUUUGAGACUAUUAACUAUGGCUCCAUUAACUAUCAAUAGUUUUUCUGGAACAUGGUGUACUGUUUACAUCUCAGAGAGAUGAGAAGAGAGAAUAGGGGACUUGUUAACAUCAUCUGCUUCUUGAUCUGACAAUGGAAGCUUCUAGUAGUGGGUUCCAUUUAACCGAAGAGAUAACACACCGUGAAAUGAACAAAUAUAGUGACAUGGUCGGGUCCCCAAAGAAACUGAUGAAUUUUCAUUUCCCCAACUACUGCCGUUUUGUUCUGG